rnacentral:rRNA from 1 species
UUAGGAAUAUUGGGCAAUGGAGGGAACUCUGACCCAGCAACGCCGCGUGAAGGAAGAAGGUUUUCGGAUUGUAAACUUCUGAUCUGUGGGAAGAAGGAAAUGACGGUACCACAGGAGAAAGCCACGGCUAACUACGUGCCAGCAGCCGCGGUAAUACGUAGGUGGCGAGCGUUGUCCGGAAUAACUGGGCGUAAAGGGAGCGUAGGUGGUUUGUUAAGUUAGGUGUGAAAGCCCAGAGCUCAACUUUGGAACUGCACUUAAAACUGGCAAACUAGAGUACAGGAGGGGUAAGCGGAAUUUCUAGUGUAGCGGUGAAAUGCGUAGAUAUUAGGAAGAACACCGGAGGCGAAGGCGGCUUACUGGACUGCAACUGACACUGAGGCUCGAAAGCGUGGGAAGCAAACAGG